UGCAUUGCGCAUGGUUAUGUCUCUGUGCAGUCAUCAAUAUUUUAUCAUUAUUUUCUCUCCCUAUACUUGAUUGAGGUGAUUCCAAAUACAUUAAAAAUGUAACUCAAAGGACUACAAUUAUAGUAGAAAUAGCAUUUAUUUUUUCAAUUAGAAUGUUUACUAUUCCAAAAAUGACUUCUAAUUGCAUCCGAUUGAUUCUAUGUGAUUUUCAAUCAUCAUUUUGUGGUCCGAAUCAACUAUUAAAUAUUUGUACUUUGGUCCCGAACUUUGAAUUUCCUCUCUUUUCUCCAUUUUUUCGUUUCUUUCUUCCAAUUUCACUUCCAAACAAUGAGUUAUACUUAAAAAACAAAAUAUAUACUUUAUUAAGUUACAAGUCAUCGACUACACCAAAAAAAGGUUUUUGCAACGGCCAAAAAUCAUAUUAUACAGCGCUAUCUCAGCAUCCACUAACAAAAUAAACCCAAAAAUCAGAAGCCAGGAAAAAAAAUCGAAAAAUUCCAAAUAAUCGCCGAAAUUUUUACCUUUCCCGAUGCCUGAAAUUCCAUUUUCCACCGUCACAGGUUCUGUGUAACCCAUAUUCAAAACCUCAAAAGCAGCCAUUUCUUUACACAUUUUUUUUCAGCCCAGAACUCACAUCUCCAAACCCCACAAGCAAUCAACAUAAAACCCCGAAAAUCCCACACUUAACAAGACUUGAGAUGGGUAAAUUAACAGGAUUGUUGAUUGAAGUUCAGAGACUACCUGACGACGGAUUAUCAACUGAAAAUGAGUUCUCAAUCAACUUUGAUUCGCCUGAAAAUCCAAUGUUGACGACGGCUAGAGGCAGAGAGUGUUUCACAGUUUGAUGCAAAUGAGAGGAAG
rnacentral:lncRNA from 1 species